rnacentral:rRNA from 1 species
GGAAUCUUCCACAAUGGGCGAAAGCCUGAUGGAGCAACGCCGCGUGUGUGAUGAAGGGUUUCGGCUCGUAAAACACUGUUGUAAGAGAAGAAUGACAUUGAGAGUAACUGUUCAAUGUGUGACGGUAUCUUACCAGAAAGGAACGGCUAAAUACGUGCCGG